AAUCCAGAGAUGGAUUUGUGCCUUCGGGAACUGUGAGACAGGUGCUGCAUGGCUGUCGUCAGCUCGUGUUGUGAAAUGUUGGGUUAAGUCCCGCAACGAGCGCAACCCUUAUCCUUUGUUGCCAGCGAUUAGGUCGGGAACUCAAAGGAGACUGCCAGUGAUAAACUGGAGGAAGGUGGGGAUGACGUCAAGUCAUCAUGGCCCUUACGACCAGGGCUACACACGUGCUACAAUGGCGCAUACAAAGAGAAGCGA
rnacentral:rRNA from 2 species